rnacentral:lncRNA from 1 species
AUGACGAAUAUGAGUCAUGCGAUCUCAAUUGACAAAAACAAAUUGUUAAAUAUAGGCAAGUUGUCGUAUCUCAUGUGCCAUCAGCGGAUACCUAGUUACGAGCUCCUUUCCCUCGCUCACGCCUCCCCUUCCCUCACUGGUGGUGAUUCUAAAGUGAGUAUCCCAGAAUUCUCUGUGGCGGUUGAGGCACAUGUUGUUAUUUUGUCUCGAUGGGGAAGAGAUGAUGCCAGUAGCUUGAUGAUCAUUCAUAUUUGCACCCCCUGAUGUGCAGUCUCUAGCAGUUCACAGCUUAAUGAGUGAAAUGUUACUGCAGAAAUCCAACACCAGAGCCGUGUAUGGUGAGCACCAGUUCUUUUAUUUGAUACACAGUAAUUACAUCCUAAUCCUCAGAUUGGGUGGCAACACUCAAACCAGCACAAUGCAUUGCCAGGCAACCAGGUGAAACGGUCAAACAGAUCCUAACAGUGGCUGUUUUCAGGCCUGACUUCCAUGUCUUCACCAGAGGUAGAAUAUAUUGAAAUAGCAGCGCAUUUAAAGUGCAUUUAAAUCUCCAGAUCAACCCCUUUCAGAAUUAGAUCUUUGGUGUGGUCAUUUAUUGUGAUUUCAGCCCUGGAAUACAACACAUUUGGUGUCCCCUGUGAUGUGGGCUUUGCCUAAAAGACCUGUCAAUCUUCAGCCUGAAUAGGUGACCUCAUUUUAAUUAUUGUU